CCUACGGGGGGCAGCAGUGGGGAAUAUUGGGCAAUGGAGGCAACUCUGACCCAGCAACGCCGCGUGAAUGAUGAAGGUCUUCGGAUUGUAAAGUUCUGUGAUGGGGGAUGAACACAAUGACGGUACCCCAAUAGCAAGCCACGGCUAACUACGUGCCAGCAGCCGCGGUAAUACGUAGGUGGCAAGCGUUAUCCGGAAUGACUGGGCGUAAAGGGUGCGUAGGUGGUUUAGUAAGUUGGCGGUGUAAUUCCGGGGCUCAACCUCGGCGCUACCGCCAAAACUAUUAGACUAGAGUGCAGGAGGGGUAAGUGGAAUUCCUAGUGUAGCGGUGGAAUGCGUAGAUAUUAGGAGGAACACUCGUGGCGAAGGCGGGUUCCUGGACAUUAACUGACGCUGAGGCACGAAGGCCAGGGGAGCGAAAGGGAUUAGAUACCCGUGUAGUC
rnacentral:rRNA from 1 species